UACAAUGCGGACUGCAGUAACGAUAUAUUAACCUAUGGAUGGGAAUAACCUCGGGAAACUGAAUAAUACCCAAUGGCCACAGUGCCUGAAUGGCUGUGGUUGAAUGAUUUAUCGCGUAGAUAGACUGGGCUAUCACUUGUGGUGAGGUAAUGGCCACCAAGGCUAUAGCAGGUACGGCUCUGAGAGGAGGGGCCCGGAGAUGGGUACUGAGACACGGACCCAGGCCUAUGGGGCGCAGCAGGCGAGAAACCUUUGCAAUGUGCGAAAGCACGACAAGGUUAAUCCGAGUGUCUCCUGCUAAAGGAGUCUUUUGUCAGUUGUAGAAUCACUGGUGAAUAAGGGGUGGGCAAGUUCUGGUGUCAGCCGCCGCGGUAAAACCAGCACCUCGAGUGGUCAGGAGGUUUAUUGGGCCUAAAGCAUCCGUAGCCGGUUGCAUAAGUUAUCGGUUAAAUCUAUGCGCUUAACGUAUAGGCCGACGAAAAUACUGUGCAGCUAGGG
rnacentral:rRNA from 1 species